rnacentral:lncRNA from 1 species
GCCCUUCCUGCCAGCUCUGGGCCUGGGAUAGUUGUCAGCUUGGCUGGUGAGGCAUUUUCUGUUGUCCACUUUGGAAGGUGGUCGGUUCCAGGCUUAACAAAAGCAGGGUAUUGUGGGGUGUGCCAUGUAUGGCCGAAGAUAAACCCGUGGCCCAAGGCCACCUCCUGCCCCACCAGCACUCAGGAGGGGCCCUGGACUCUGGAUUAGGUAUUGUGGAAAAGGCCACGGUGCUCCAGCCCGUGACCUGUGGCAAGAUGUUUAAACUCUGGGCCCAAGUCUCCAGCUGGAUGAAGAGCAGUGAAGUUGCUCCCAGGAUGGAGAGAGGGACAGCAGGAGAGAAGCAAGUCCCUCGAAAGACAGGGUCUUCCCCGACAUGGAAACUGUCACAACCGUUCACUUGUCACCCCAACAUCACAGACACAGCUGGCGCAAUGAAUGAGCGUCUGUGGUGUCAGCUGUGUGCGCAUGUUGUGCUGAUCCUGUGAGGGCUCCCAGAGAAAGCAAGAGGGACCCCUCGCCUGCAGACCGUGGAGCUGUUGCAGUGCAAGUGUGGUAACUAGGCCCUGUGGACAAAAGGGCACCGGAGGCCAUUUCCACAGGGUGGACCAGAACGAUUUGGUGUUUGACAGGACUUCACAGCUGGCAGAGAUGUGGCCCCAGAAGAGCCAAGCUAGGGCCACUGUCAGCGUGGUGACCUGAGCAAAUGCCCUGGGCAGACGUCUGCAGGCAGCAGAAAGCAGGCAGGUUUUCAAAGCAUUUCAUCCACAUUUGCACUGUAGAAUGCCCACCCAACAACAGCUCCUCUUCAGAGGGCCUGGGAGGCCUACGGUCAUCUUUCACCCCAAAGACGGCCAGGUAUCGGGCAUCGUUGAGUUUUCAUUUUUCAUGCAGGGUGAAGGGGGCAGAGGGGCUCAGCAGCAGAUUAGCUGAGGGUAAGCCAGACAUGUGACUGACUCUGUGCUCUCCCUCUGUCUGAAUCCUGCCCAGUGUCCGGGGUCUCUCUGCUGAGUCCUCUGUGGGCUGUGGUCAGCAGAGGUCCCCUCCACACCCUCCUUUUCCCUGUGUAGAUCCUACAGAUAUGGGCUCAGAUGCUGAGUCAGAUACUGGAAAAUGGUUUUGACUCUAGGAGCAUUUGGUCUAUUACAUUUGAAUCUAUCUUAGAGUGUUCUUAGGAGGCAACUGGACUCACGUGCAUAUUCACAUGCCUGCACAUGUGUGUCUACACAGCCACACAUGUGUACACGUGUAUAGACUGUACACACAGGUACACACACGCACGUGCACACACAUACAUGAGCAUUCACAGGCACACAGGUAUGCAUACAUCUCUAUGCACACCCACACGUCCAUGCACACAAUCUCUG